CUGGCUUUAAGUUACGUUUUGGUCGACCAAAUGAUAAAUCUACAAUUUAUAAUCGAUUUGUACAUCAAAAUUUCAUAAAUAUGUAAACUAAUUCCUCUGCACCGCUUAUAAUACAAGUUAUCCUUAACUCCCGAUGAAAUGUCUGAUGUGGAGCAAGAAGCCUCUGGAUACGUGGAUAAUGAGCAAAAUGAAGGACAAGAAGCCGCAGAAGAUAUUGAGGAAGAGGGCGAAGACGACGAACAGUAUGUUGAAGAGGAGGACGAGUUCGAGGUGGAGGAGAAGGAUCCCUUUGAGCUCCUCAAUGAGAGCGAUGAGGACGAUGAAGAGCAACAGGCAAUGUACAAGGAGUAUCAGGAGGUGGUCAACGCUAUUGAUGCCCAGAACAGGAUUAUAAAAGAGCUCAAGGCAAAAUCCAAUCGACUGCUGUUCAAGAAGUGCAAGACUUAUAGAGACAAGCAGGAAUACAAACAACUUAGGGUCUGCCAGGAGCAUGAGGAGAUCCACUUAAAGGUCCUCGUGAAUAGAGCCAUGCACCUCCAAAACUUCGGUUCACCUAGGCGCUACAGAGAUAUAGAAAUGGAAGUCACAGAAGACGAGCAUGGCUACUUCUAUACAGAACUACAAUCAACCUUCUCAGGCUUUUGUCCCACAAAUUCGGCUGACGAAUAUGAGUCGGAUUCUGAAUCGGAUAAUGGGCUAUGUUGUACCUAGUCCAAAGUUUUUCGGUUUUUCGGCAUAUUGACGGCGAAAAGUUAUGAAAAUAAUUAAAUAAGUGUGGCAUUUCCGCCACAUCACUCUGGGCACCACAUAUCUACGACACUGCACUCAAAAAGGGGAAAGGCUGCAGGGAAUUUCUUUUAGCUUGGUUUUAUAGUUGUGAGUCGAGCGGGGAAAGUGUAGUGCAAUAGCAAUGAGCGCAAAAACAAGACGAUUGUGCCCCCAGACAGAAUGAGGGGAUCAAAGCAAAACAGCCAUAAACAAAUAACCAAAGAGGCACAGAAAGACGCCAGUAGAGCAGAAUGAAUCGAAUCGAAACGAACUGAAUUGAACCAAAACUUCUCUCGAUGAUUUCUUCGUUCCUCCUUCUUUUAUUAUGCCUCAAUUCUCACUCUCCGCCAAGUGCCACGCCCAUUGCGGCGCUUAAUGGGGAACACGUGAUAGCUUGACGUUUUCUACACAACU